UUGAUGAGAGGCAGCCGGUAUAUAUAUGCUACAAAUUAAGCUCUGAUCGAUCGGUGCCUGCAUCUGCAUGCAUGGUAACUAGCAGGAGGAAGAGGAUAAUAUGUCUUGGGGGUGCUUGUUGCUGCUGCUGCUGAUGAUGAUUGUCUCGGCAUCAUCAUCUGCUACAAUGAUCGUCAUCUCUCCCUCUAAUUCUUCUUCAGCAGCAGCAGCAGCAGGAAGAGGAAGAAGAAUGGAGGAGUAUGGUAGUGGUGGGUGCAGUGUGAAGAGCAAGACGUGGAAUGAGAGGAAGCUGUGCACCAAGCGUGGAACCUGCCGCGCCGAAGGUUUCGACUACGGCUCCUGCUACCCCAAUCGACCACGACCUUCUUUCAUCGGCAGAUUCUUUCACGUCUGCUACUGCAGCAUGAACUACUGCAAAAACAAUAUCAUCCCAUCAUCCUAAUAACUAGCUAAUUACUUAAUAAUUACUGUAUGUUUGUACGUAUCACCUACCGAUCGAUCGACCCCUACAACUAUAUAUACUGAUCGAUUUUCGAUUAUAUAUGAAAUAAAUUUUUACUACU